rnacentral:rRNA from 1 species
GACGAACGCUGGCGGCGUGCUUAACACAUGCAAGUCGAACGGAAAGGCCCUGAGUUUGUGGGGUGCUCGAGUGGCGAAGGGGUGAGUAACACGUGAGUAACCUGCCCUUGACUUUGGGAUAACUUCAGGAAACUGGGGCUAAUACCGGAUAGGAGCUCCCGCAGCAUGGAGGGGGUUGGAAAGUCUCGGCCGUUGGGGAUGGACUGGCGGCUAAUCAGCUUGUUGGUGGGGUAGUGGCAUACCAAGGCUUUGACUGGUAGCCCGCAUGGGAGGGUGGCCGGGCUCCUGGGUCCUGCGGGAGGGACCAGUCUCCAACGUUGGACAGCAGUGGGGAGCCUGACCCAGCCGGCCCGCGUCUGUUACGACGGCCUUGGGUUUGGGAUGACGGCCUUUUGGGUGUGAACCGCUGCCGGUUGAUACGACGCUGUAGUGACGGUAAUGAGUGAAUAAGCACCGGCUAACUACGUG